rnacentral:ribozyme from 1 species
GAAAAGAACGAGAAAAAAGAAGAAGAAAAAAGGGGGGGCACAUCACAUCAUAUUUCGUGUUUUUCUUUUAUGUUUAUCGCUGUGUAUCCCCAUUGGAAGCAAAAGGGUAUUCCGGACUCGGAAGAAAAAAAGAUACUUUUAUUAUUGGGAAAUGAAGAAUCGGCAAAAAUACAUUUCUUUGCUUGCGUAGCCACCAUAUUCAACUAACUAAUAACAAAGAGAGAGAGAGAGAG